UACGAAGGGGGCUAGCGUUGCUCGGAAUCACUGGGCGUAAAGCGCACGUAGGCGGCUUUCUAAGUCUGGGGUGAAAUCCUGGAGCUCAACUCCAGAACUGCCUUUGAUACUGGAGAGCUAGAGUCCGGAAGAGGUGAGUGGAACUGCGAGUGUAGAGGUGAAAUUCGUAGAUAUUCGCAAGAACACCAGUGGCGAAGGCGGCUCACUGGUCCGGUACUGACGCUGAGGUGCGAAAGCGUGGGGAGCAAACAGG
rnacentral:rRNA from 1 species